GAUGAACGCUGGCGGCGUGCCUAAUACAUGCAAGUCGAGCGAACAGAUGAGGAGCUUGCUCCUCUGACGUUAGCGGCGGACGGGUGAGUAACACGUGGAUAACCUACCUAUAAGACUGGGAUAACUUCGGGAAACCGGAGCUAAUACCGGAUAAUAUAUUGAACCGCAUGGUUCAGUAGUGAAAGACGGUUUUGCUGUCACUUAUAGAUGGAUCCGCGCCGCAUUAGCUAGUUGGUAAGGUAACGGCUUACCAAGGCAACGAUGCGUAGCCGACCUGAGAGGGUGAUCGGCCACACUGGAACUGAGACACGGUCCAGACUCCUACGGGAGGCAGCAGUAGGGAAUCUUCCGCAAUGGGCGAAAGCCUGACGGAGCAACGCCGCGUGAGUGAUGAAGGUCUUCGGAUCGUAAAACUCUGUUAUUAGGGAAGAACAAAUGUGUAAGUAACUAUGCACGUCUUGACGGUACCUAAUCAGAAAGCCCCGGCUAACUACGUG
rnacentral:rRNA from 1 species